GAAUCGGGUUAAUAUUCCCGAACCGGGACAUGGCGGCGGGCGGCAACGUUAGGAAAUCCGGAGACGUCGUCGGGGGCCCCGGGAAGAGUUAUCUUUUCUUUUUAACAGCUUGCCCACCCUGGAAUCGGUUCACCCGGAGAUAGGGUCCAGCAGCUGGAAGAGCACCGCACGUCUUGCGGUGUCCGGUGCGCCCUCGGCGGCCCUUGAAAAUCUGGAGGACCGAGUACCGUUCAUGCCCGGUCGUACUCAUAACCGCAUCAGG
rnacentral:rRNA from 12 species